rnacentral:rRNA from 1 species
UACCAGCACCCCGAGUGGUCGGGACGAUUAUUGGGCCUAAAGCAUCCGUAGCCGGUCAUGCAAGUCUUCCGUUAAAUCCAGCCGCUCAACGGUUGGGCUGCGGAGGAUACUACGUGGCUAGGAGGCGGGAGAGGCAAGCGGUACUCAGUGGGUAGGGGUAAAAUCCUUUGAUCCAUUGAAGACCACCAGUGGCGAAGGCGGCUUGCCAGAACGCGCACGACGGUGAGGGAUGAAAGCUGGGGGAGCAAACCGG